rnacentral:rRNA from 1 species
GUCGUCAGCUCGUGUCGUGAGAUGUUGGGUUAAGUCCCGCAACGAGCGCAACCCUUAUUAUUAGUUGCCAGCAUUAAGUUGGGCACUCUAGUGAGACUGCCGGUGACAAACCGGAGGAAGGUGGGGACGACGUCAAAUCAUCAUGCCCCUUAUGACCUGGGCUACACACGUGCUACAAUGGACGGUACAACGAGUUGCGAGACCGCGAGGUUUAGCUAACCUCUUAAAGCCGUUCUCAGUUCGGAUUGUAGGCUGCAACUCGCCUACAUGAAGUUGGAAUCGCUAGUAAUCGCGGAUCAGCAUGCCGCGGUGAAUACGUUCCCGGGA